AAAAAAAAAAAAAAAGAAGCACCACUUAGACUAGAAAAUAAUUUUAUACUUUGCAUUGCAAAUACUGUUUAAACUUCUGCCCAUUCAGUUCAUUCCAAUAAAUAACAACAGUGUUACAGUUUCUUCUGGUUGGCAUUGCUAUACAAGACAAGGAAAGCAGUGAGUUAAACAAAAUUGUCCAUAAUGCCAGAAUACAUGGCUAUAAAAUAUUGGAAUUACUUUUAUGACAGUUAAAAUUAAAAGUUACCAAAGAGAAAGAAAGCUGAAGUUGCCAUCAUCAAUGAACCCUCAGAGCACAACUAUGGAAGCUACCAAAUAAAAAUGCCAACAAAAUAAAAUCCUUACUUAAAACAAAUUCAGCUUUAAACCCACUUAAUUGACCCAACAUUUCAAGCCAAGUUUUAUUUGUAAUGAUCUGGGAGGAGUUUGAUUAGCCUGCCCCAAUUUGAAAAGCCAGAAUGAUUUCACAUGCACAUAUGCGUAUGCAUGUACAAACUGCCAAACUAUUUUCCCACGAUAUCAUUUAGACCCUAAGAGUGAUGCGCUUUCUCGUCCUUCCUCCAAUUAUUAAUAUGUGAUUUCAGAUAUUUUUGAGAUUUUCGAAAUGGAAUUCAAGUUGGCAUUUUCCAAUUCACUUGUGAAUGCCAAGAAGUAUUUGGAUAAUAUUGACAAUGGUUGGAUUACUUUCAAGUAAAUCAGAGUUACAUAUCUUUCAUUGGUGUUAUAUUUCUCCAAGAUCAUUUAAGAUACACUUCCUUUUCUAAAUUUGCAUGCAUAUCCAAUGGAUUGAGUUGUGCAAGAAAACAGAUGGGUAUAGUGUAUUUUUUUU
rnacentral:misc_RNA from 1 species